GGCGACGUGGCCAAGUGGCAAGGCGGGGGUCUGCAAAACCCCUAUUCACCGGUUCGAAUCCGGUCGUCGCCUCCA
rnacentral:tRNA from 2 species